UGCGCGCGGCCGGGGAGUCGGUGCGGCCCUCGGGCUCCCGCUCCGAGGCCGGCCGCCUGCUCACGGCGCAGCAGUUCCAGAUCGCCGCCCUCGU
rnacentral:tRNA from 1 species